CCUACGGGAGGCAGCAGUGGGGGAUAUUGGACAAUGGGGGAAACCCUGAUCCAGCGACGCCGCGUGAGUGAAGAAGUAUUUCGGUAUGUAAAGCUCUAUCAGCAGGGAAGAAAGAAAUGACGGUACCUGAGUAAGAAGCCCCGGCUAACUACGUGCCAGCAGCCGCGGUAAUACGAGGGGGGCAAGCGUUAUCCGGAUUUACUGGGUGUAAGGGGAGCGUAGACGGUAAAGCAAGUCUGGAGUGAAAGGCGGGGGCCCAACCACCGGAGUGCUCUGGAAACUGUGUAACUGGAGUGCAGGGGAGGCAGGCGGAAUUCCUGGUGUAGCGGUGAAAUGCGUAGAUAUUAGGAGGAACACCGGUGGCGAAGGCGGCCUGCUGGACUGUAACUGACGUUGAGGCUCGAAAGCGUGGGGAGCAAACAGGAUUAGAUACCCCAGUAGUC
rnacentral:rRNA from 1 species